GCCUGGGGGAUCCUGCGCGCGCCGUAGCGCGCUGCGCUCUUCUAAGCUCUGCGCCAGGGGUCGGGUUCCCGAGGGUUAGAGCCAGCCUGGCAAGGAUCCACACUCCGAGCGCCUAGAGAUCCCGCUGACCGCCCUGACUCCAGCUAGAGAGCAAGCAUCCAGAAGCACCAUUUUCUUAUACAAAGGACACUUAAGGCAAACUAGUGGAAGUAAGGGCAGGAGCCCGGCAAAGCCGCGGUUGGAGCCGAAAGACGGUGUCUGCAUAUUUCAUACUCAACUGUGAGCCGGGUCUGGUUCCUUGCUUGCCUUUCGGGUUGAUCGUCUGGGGGCAGCGGAAAGCCAGGCUUGAACAGUUACACAUUGCAGCAGACAAAACUGCAGCUGAAUUUCUUUCAUAGGAGCCUGGAAAUUAUGGCCUUAUGUGCGUAGCUGAACUUUGCUGAAGCACUGAGC